ACUUAGUUAUCCGUAGCAUGUGCAGAAAUUGCCAUUUUUAGUAUAUUUUUUUAAUUUUUGUUGAAAUACUCGACAAAAUUAGGCGGUGCCAACAGAAUAAAAACAUUUAAACGAGAAAAAGUUCCCCACCGUUUGGCUUGAAAAACUCAAUUACGGACAAAUCCGGGGUAAUUAGCUUAAUUAAUACUUUAACUGCCUUUGCAAUUUUCUCUAAUUCGUGUACUUCGAGUUAAUUACUUGUUUUGUUGUCUUAAUUAAUGUGUUGUUGUUGGUUACAUGAUUGAGGAAAACAAUUUUCCUUUGCGAAAAACAUGGCAAUUGUUACGUCCUAUCAGAUGAUUUAAUUGUAUUUGUCACUCUUAUCAUAUUUUUCAGAAUGAAAUAUUUGUGUUCAUUCUUAUCAGUGACACAAAUAACAAAAUGUGGUUCUGGAAGUCAAAACAAACACUUUUAUUGAGAUUGUUCCAUAAAAAGCGAAUUAAAAUUAUUUUGGCGCGUUGCCACUUGAUAAUUGCGCUCCAAAUGGAACAAAGCAGUUUUAGGCGUGAUAAAAAUAAGUGCAAACGAAGUGCGGAAAUGUGGAUUUGAAGGUUUUCCCUUAAAUUUCCUGAUUGAAAUUAAUCUGGCGCCGUUGCCGCGCUUACCUUUCGGUUCGUCAUUGUUGCCGUUCCUCUUGUUGAUUGAAUCCAUUUCGAUAUCCGGUUGCAGAAUUGUAGAAAAAGAACACUUUCUGAAUGAAUUUGCCGACUCAAAAAAACAAUUCAAACACACUUCGAAUCACUCAAUAACAACAGAAAAUUGAAGAAAAAAAAAUACAAAAAACGAAACAACUAAA